rnacentral:rRNA from 1 species
AUUGAACGCUGGCGGCAGGCCUAACACAUGCAAGUCGAACGCGUGGCAGACGGGUGAGUCAUGUCUGUGACACUGCCUGAUGGCUGGGGAUACCUACUGGAAACGGUAGCUAUUACCGCAUACCAUCCGAUGUUCCCUGAUUGGAUUAGCCAGUGGGUGGGGUAACGGCUCACCAAGGCGACGAUCCCUAGCUGAUCUGAGAGGAUGACCGGCCACACUGGAACUGAGACACGGUCCAGACUCCUACGGGAGGCAGCAGUGGGGAAUAUUGCACAAUGGGCGCAAGCCUGAUGCAGCCAUGCCGCGUGUAUGAUGAAGGCCUUCGGGUUGUAAAGUACUUUCAGCGGGGAGGCGUUACCCACAGAAGAAGCACCGGCUAACUCCGUGCCAGCAGCCGCGGUAAUAC